CUUACUUAUCCUGCCACUUAGCUUUCUUUCCUGGGUGAUAUGUUUGAUUUGUCUUCCUAAUGAGUUUUCUUGUCCUAGAUAUCCUGUGUUGGUGGGUUUGGCUCCAAUUCUUACAUGUAUAAGAUGAAUGGGACUGCUAAUAUAAAUGCAAUUAGAGCUGCUUCUGAACAAGGUGUGAAACGAUUUGUGUAUGUCUCUACUGCUGAUUUUGGUGUGGUAAAUUACUUACUGCGAGGAUAUUAUAAGGGGAAGAGAGCUGCAGAAACAGAGCUACUAACCAAAUUCCCUUAUG